UACGUAGGGGGCAAGCGUUGUCCGGAAUCAUUGGGCGUAAAGCGCGCGUAGGCGGCCCGAUAAGUCCGCUGUGAAAGUCAACGGCUCAACUGUUGAAUGCCGGUGGAUACUGUCGGGCUAGAGUCCGGAAGAGGCAAGUGGAAUUCCUGGUGUAGCGGUGGAAUGCGCAGAUAUCAGGAGGAACACCCAUAGCGAAGGCAGCUUGCUGGGACGGUACUGACGCUAAGGCGCGAAAGCGUGGGGAGCGAACAGG
rnacentral:rRNA from 1 species